rnacentral:rRNA from 1 species
AGGACGAACGCUGGCGGCGUGCUUAACACAUGCAAGUCGAGCGGAAAGGCCCUUCGGGGUACUCGAGCGGCGAACGGGUGAGUAACACGUGGGCAACCUGCCCCUAGCUCUGGGAUAACUCCGGGAAACCAGUGCUAAUACCGGAUACGACCUCAUUAGGCAUCCUUUGAGGUGGAAAGAUUUAUCGGCUAGGGAUGGGCCCGCGGCCUAUCAGCUUGUUGGUGGGGUAACGCCUACCAAGGCGACGACGGGUA